rnacentral:tRNA from 1 species
GCCACCAUAGCUCAGUUGGCAGAGCAACCGCCUUGUAAGCGGUCGGUCCUGGGUUCGAGUCCCAGUGGUGGCU